rnacentral:rRNA from 1 species
GAUGAACGCUGGCGGCGUGCCUAAUACAUGCAAGUCGAGCGAACGGACGAGAAGCUUGCUUCUCUGAUGUUAGCGGCGGACGGGUGAGUAACACGUGGAUAACCUACCUAUAAGACUGGGAUAACUUCGGGAAACCGGAGCUAAUACCGGAUAAUAUUUUGAACCGCAUGGUUCAAAAGUGAAAGACGGUCUUGCUGUCACUUAUAGAUGGAUCCGCGCUGCAUUAGCUAGUUGGUAAGGUAACGGCUUACCAAGGCAACGAUGCAUAGCCGACCUGAGAGGGUGAUCGGCCACACUGGAACUGAGACACGGUCCAGACUCCUACGGGAGGCAGCAGUAGGGAAUCUUCCGCAAUGGGCGAAAGCCUGACGGAGCAACGCCGCGUGAGUGAUGAAGGUCUUCGGAUCGUAAAACUCUGUUAUUAGGGAAGAACAUAUGUGUAAGUAACUGCGCACAUCUUGACGGUACCUAAUCAGAAAGCCACGGCUAACUACGUGCCAGCAGCCGCGGUAAUACGUAGGUGGCAAGCGUUAUCCGGAAUUAUUGGGCGUAAAGCGCGCGUAGGCGGUUUUUUAAGUCUGAUGUGAAAGCCCACGGCUCAACCGUGGAGGGUCAUUGGAAACUGGAAAACUUGAGUGCAGAAGAGGAAAGUGGAAUUCCAUGUGUAGCGGUGAAAUGCGCAGAGAUAUGGAGGAACACCAGUGGCGAAGGCGACUUUCUGGUCUGUAACUGACGCUGAUGUGCGAAAGCGUGGGGAUCAAACAGGAUUAGAUACCCUGGUAGUCCACGCCGUAAACGAUGAGUGCUAAGUGUUAGGGGGUUUCCGCCCCUUAGUGCUGCAGCUAACGCAUUAAGCACUCCGCCUGGGGAGUACGACCGCAAGGUUGAAACUCAAAGGAAUUGACGGGGACCCGCACAAGCGGUGGAGCAUGUGGUUUAAUUCGAAGCAACGCGAAGAACCUUACCAAAUCUUGACAUCCUUUGACAACUCUAGAGAUAGAGCCUUCCCCUUCGGGGGACAAAGUGACAGGUGGUGCAUGGUUGUCGUCAGCUCGUGUCGUGAGAUGUUGGGUUAAGUCCCGCAACGAGCGCAACCCUUAAGCUUAGUUGCCAUCAUUAAGUUGGGCACUCUAAGUUGACUGCCGGUGACAAACCGGAGGAAGGUGGGGAUGACGUCAAAUCAUCAUGCCCCUUAUGAUUUGGGCUACACACGUGCUACAAUGGACAAUACAAAGGGCAGCGAAACCGCGAGGUCAAGCAAAUCCCAUAAAGUUGUUCUCAGUUCGGAUUGUAGUCUGCAACUCGACUACAUGAAGCUGGAAUCGCUAGUAAUCGUAGAUCAGCAUGCUACGGUGAAUACGUUCCCGGGUCU